UGGUGCAUGGUUGUCGUCAGCUCGUGUCGUGAGAUGUUGGGUUAAGUCCCGCACGAGCGCAACCCUUAUUGCUAGUUACCAUCAUUCAGUUGGGGACUCUAGCGAGACUGCCAGUGAUAAACUGGAGGAAGGUGGGGAUGACGUCAAAUCAUCAUGCCCCUUAUGACCUGGGCUACAAACGUGAUACAAUGGCUGAACAAAGGGCAGCGAAGCAGUGAUGUGGAGCGAACCCAAAAAAGCAGUCUCAGUUCGGAUUGAAGUCUGCAACUCGACUUCAUGAAGUCGGAAUCGCUAGUAAUCGCGGAUCAGAACGCCGCGGUGAAUACGUUCUCGGGUUU
rnacentral:rRNA from 1 species